rnacentral:rRNA from 1 species
CAUGUCCUUUUGAUUUUAAUUUAAGGUCUGAUCUGCUCAAUGAAUUUUAAAUAGCCGCAGUAUUUUGACUGUGCAAAGGUAGCAUAAUAAUUAGUUUCUUAAUUAGGAACUGGAAUGAAUGAUUAGACAAGAAAAUUACUGUCUCUUUUUUAAAUUUAUUGAAUUUUAUUUUUAAGUGAAAAAGCUUAAAUUUUUAUAAAAGACGAGAAGACCCUAUAGAGUUUAAUAUUUAUUACAAAUAAAUAAUUAGAAAAAUAUUUUUGUGAUAAUUAUUUAAUUGGGGUGAUUGAAAGAUUAAUAAAAUUCUUUUAUUAAAAUAAUUGUUAGUUUACAAAUUUAAUAUCUAUUAUUAAUAAAUAUAAAAUAAAUUACCUUAGGGAUAACAGCGUAAUUUUUCUUUAAAGUUCUUAUUGUAAGGAAAGUUUGCGACCUCGAUGUUGGAUUAAAAUUAAUUUUUGGUGCAAUAACUUAAAAAUUAGGUCUGUUCGACCUUUAAAAUUUUACAUGAUCUGAGUUUAGACCGGCGUGAGCCAGGUUGGAUUCUAUCUUUAGAAAAUUAAACAUAUUUUAGUACGAAAGGACCAAAUAUGUAUUAAAUUAAUUG